rnacentral:rRNA from 1 species
UACGUAGGGUGCAAGCGUUGUCCGGAUUUAUUGGGCGUAAAGAGCUCGUAGGCGGCUUGUCGCGUCGUCCGUGAAACCUGGGGCUCAACUCCAGGCUUGCGGUCGAUACGGGCAGGCUCGAGUUCGGUAGGGGGGACUGGAAUUCCUGGUGUAGCGGUGAAAUGCGCAGAUAUCAGGAGGAACACCGGUGGCGAAGGCAGGUCUCUGGGCCACUA